GUAGGAUGCAAGCGUUGCUCGGAAUCACUGGGUGUAAAGAGCGCGUAGGUGGUUUUGCAAGUCAAGGGUGAAAGCCCACGGCUCAACCGUGGAACGGCCUUUGAAACUGCAUGACUAGAGUACGGGAGAGGGAAGUGGAAUUCCUGGUGUAGCGGUGAAAUGCGUAGAUAUCAGGAGGAACAUCGGCGGCGAAGGCGGCUUCCUGGACCGGUACUGACACUGAGGCGCGAAAGCGUGGGUAGCAAGCAGGAUUAGAUACCCUGGUAGUCCACGCCCUAAACGAUGGGCACUAGGUGUGGGGGACCGUUAAGGUUUCUGUGCCGCAGCUAACGCAUUAAGUGCCCCCGCCUGGGAAGUACGGCCGCAAGGUUG
rnacentral:rRNA from 1 species